rnacentral:misc_RNA from 1 species
GAUGAAGAACGUAGCGAAAUGCGAUAAGUGAUGUGAAUUGCAGAAUUCAGUGAACCAUCGAAUCUUUGAACGCACAUUGCGCCCGGCAGUAAUCUGCCGGGCAUGCCUGUCCGAGCGUCAUUUCUACCCUCGAGCGAGUCCAGCAUCUAGGUGCUGGGCCUCGCCCGGCGUUGGAGCACUACGGGAAGCCCUGUGCUGUCCCCCGUAGGCCCCGAAAUGAAGUGGCGGUCCUGCCGCGGCGCCCCCUGCGUAGUAUAACAGCUCGCUUCGGGACCCGGUGGAGGCCUGCCGUCAAACCUAUACUCUCUAAGUUUGACCUCGGAUCAGGUAGGGUUACCCGCUGAACUUAAGCAUAUCAAUAAGCGGAGGA